rnacentral:rRNA from 1 species
CGACCGCUGGCGGCGUGCUUAACACAUGCACGUCGAACGGAAAGGCCCUGCUUUUGUGGGGUGCUCGAGUGGCGAACGGGUGAGUAACACGUGAGUAACCUGCCCUUGACUUUGGGAUAACUUCAGGAAACUGGGGCUAAUACCGGAUAGGAGCUCCUGCUGCAUGGUGGGGGUUGGAAAGUUUCGGCGGUUGGGGAUGGACUCGCGGCUUAUCAGCUUGUUGGUGGGGUAGUGGCUUACCGAGGCUUUGACGGGUAGCCGGCCUGAGAGGGUGACCGGCCACAUUGGGACUGAGAUACGGCCCAGACUCCUACGGGAGGCAGCAGUGGGGAAUAUUGCACAAUGGGCGGAAGCCUGAUGCAGCAACGCCGCGUGCGGGAUGACGGCCUUCGGGUUGUAAACCGCUUUCGCCUGUGACGAAGCGUGAGUGACGGUAAUGGGUAAAGAAGCACCGGCUAACUACGUG